rnacentral:rRNA from 1 species
GGGUUGCAGUGGCGGCUGCUAUACAUGCAGUCGAGCGGACAGAUGGGAGCUUGCUCCCUGAUGUUAGCGGCGGACGGGUGAGUAACACGUGGGUAACCUGCCUGUAAGACUGGGAUAACUCCGGGAAACCGGGGCUAAUACCGGAUGGUUGUUUGAACCGCAGGGUUCAAACAUAAAAGGUGGCUUCGGCUACCACUUACAGAUGGACCCGCGGCGCAUUAGCUAGUUGGUGAGGUAACGGCUCACCAAGGCAACGAUGCGUAGCCGACCUGAGAGGGUGAUCGGCCACACUGGGACUGAGACACGGCCCAGACUCCUACGGGAGGCAGCAGUAGGGAAUCUUCCGCAAUGGACGAAAGUCUGACGGAGCAACGCCGCGUGAGUGAUGAAGGUUUUCGGAUCGUAAAGCUCUGUUGUUAGGGAAGAACAAGUACCGUUCGAAUAGGGCGGUACCUUGACGGUACCUAACCAGAAAGCCACGGCUAACUACGUGCCAGCAGCCGCGGUAAUACGUAGGUGGCAAGCGUUGUCCGGAAUUAUUGGGCGUAAAGGGCUCGCAGGCGGUUUCUUAAGUCUGAUGUGAAAGCCCCCGGCUCAACCGGGGAGGGUCAUUGGAAACUGGGGAACUUGAGUGCAGAAGAGGAGAGUGGAAUUCCACGUGUAGCGGUGAAAUGCGUAGAGAUGUGGAGGAACACCAGUGGCGAAGGCGACUCUCUGGUCUGUAACUGACGCUGAGGAGCGAAAGCGUGGGGAGCGAACAGGAUUAGAUACCCUGGUAGUCCACGCCGUAAACGAUGAGUGCUAAGUGUUAGGGGGUUUCCGCCCCUUAGUGCUGCAGCUAACGCAUUAAGCACUCCGCCUGGGGAGUACGGUCGCAAGACUGAAACUCAAAGGAAUUGACGGGGGCCCGCACAAGCGGUGGAGCAUGUGGUUUAAUUCGAAGCAACGCGAAGAACCUUACCAGGUCUUGACAUCCUCUGACAAUCCUAGAGAUAGGACGUCCCCUUCGGGGGCAGAGUGACAGGUGGUGCAUGGUUGUCGUCAGCUCGUGUCGUGAGAUGUUGGGUUAAGUCCCGCAACGAGCGCAACCUUUGAUCUUAGUUGCCAGCAUUCAGUUGGGCACUCUAAGGUGACUGCCGGUGACAAACCGGAAGAAAGGUGGGGGAUGACGUCAAAUCAUCAAGGCCCCUUAAAAACUUG